rnacentral:rRNA from 1 species
UACGUAGGGGGCAAGCGUUGUCCGGAUUUAUUGGGCGUAAAGAGCGUGUAGGCGGCCAGGUAGGUCAGCUGUGAAAACUCGAGGCUCAACCUCGAGACGUCGGUUGAAACCACCUGGCUAGAGUCCGGAAGAGGAGAGUGGAAUUCCUGGUGUAGCGGUGAAAUGCGCAGAUAUCAGGAAGAACACCUAUGGCGAAGGCAGCACUCUGGGACGGUACUGACGCUGAGACGCGAAAGCGUGGGGAGCGAACAGG